UACGGGAGGGUGCAAGCGUUAUCCGGAUUUACUGGGUUUAAAGGGUGUGUAGGCGGACUUUUAAGUCAGCGGUGAAAUCUCCGGGCUCAACCCGGAAACUGCCAUUGAUACUAUUGGUCUUGAAUAUUGUGGAGGUGGGCGGAACGGGUCAUGUAGCGGUGAAAUGCUUAGAGAUGACCCGGAACACCGAUUGCGAAGGCAGCCCACUACGCAAUGAUUGACGCUGAGGCAACGGAAAAGCGUGGGGGAGCAAACAGG
rnacentral:rRNA from 1 species